UACGGAGGGUGCAAGCGUUGUUCGGAAUCACUGGGCGUAAAGGGCGCGUAGGCGGUGUGUCAAGUCAGGCGUGAAAGCCCCGGGCUCAACCUGGGAACAGCGCUUGAGACUGGCACGCUCGAGUUCGGGAGAGGAUGGUGGAAUUCCCAGUGUAGAGGUGAAAUUCGUAGAUAUUGGGAAGAACACCGAUGGCGAAGGCAGCCAUCUGGACCGACACUGACGCUGAGGCGCGAAAGCGUGGGGAGCAAACAGG
rnacentral:rRNA from 1 species